CAGCGUCUUCGGGCUUUAUUGGCUCUUCAAUAGGAAGAGAUAGUCUUCGAGGCAGCGCCUGGAGUUUGCGGUGUCAAACUAGUUGGACACUAUCUAUACACACAAUAUUCACAACAGACACAUCAUGUUCCAAAUGAAUUCCACCUCCCAGAAAGCAUACAUGACUUCAGUUAAGCAGCCUCGGUCCCUGAAAGCAAAAGGGCUGAAAGACAUCAGGAUUGAUGAAGAAGUUAAAAUUUCCGUGAACAUAUCACUGGAGAGGUUCCAUUACAGUGAUGAGAAAGAGUUGGAGUUUCCUUCCUCGUUUACUAGCUCAGAGAGGGCUUUUGUACACCGUCUUGCUCAGUCCUUGGGGUACAUUUCAAAAAGCAGAGGAAAAGGAUCACACCGCUUCCUUACUAUAUGGAAGAAGGAUGGCUCACAGAAGGCCCGGUCCAUUAUGACCUUUGACCUUACCCACAAUUCCAAGUAUGUGGUGCGAAGCUUGCUGCAAAUGUUUCCUAUCACCAAUAAAGAGCGCACUGAUCUGCUCCCACGCAUGAAGAGAGGCCAGUCUAUUUCCCUAGAAACUGGAGAUAGCAAUCGAGACAAGAACAGAACCAGUGGGAGAUUAAAUAAUGGCAUACCCCAGGUGCCCCAGAGGAGAGGCUCGUCUGAUCUUGAAUGCUUUCGACGGGCCCUUCCAGUCUUUGAGCGCCAUGAGGAGAUUGUGGCGACCAUCAAAGAGAAUCAGGUGGUGCUGGUCGUGGGCGAGACAGGCUCGGGCAAGACCACCCAGAUCCCACAGUUCCUGCUGGAUGACUGCAGCCGUAAGGGAAUUCCUUGCCGGAUCUUCUGCACACAGCCCAGGAGACUGGCAGCCAUUGCCGUAGCCGAGCGCGUGGCCGCGGAGAGAGGCGAGACUGUUGGCCAGACAGUUGGCUACCAGAUCCGCCUGGAGAGCAGAGUUUCUCCCAAAACUUUGCUGACCUUCUGUACAAGUGGUGUGCUUCUGAGGACCCUAAUGGCUGGAGAUGCCACCCUCUCCACUGUCACACACGUGAUUGUGGACGAGGUCCAUGAGCGAGAUGGCCUGACAGAUUUUCUCCUGAUCAAGCUGCGGGACAUGCUGCAGAAGAUGCCCUCCCUGAAGCUAAUCCUGUCUAGCGCUGCCCUCGACAUCAAUCUCUUUAUCAGAUACUUUGGCGACUGCCCCAUCAUCUACAUCAAAGGACAGCCACAUGAAGUUAAACAGCUUUUUCUUGAGGACAUCUUGCGGACCACAGGCUACUCAAACAAAGAUAUGUGCAAGUAUGAGAAGGAGAUGCAAAUAGAGGAGAGGCAGCAGACAUCUCUGACAGAGUGGUGUGAGCUGAAAGCGGGGUUGUCUCAGCCCAAGUGUCAGCGGGACAGGCUUCCCAUCCGCAUCUUGCAGGAGAAUGAACUGCUCGAUGACGGGGGAGACAGCGUCUUCAGCCAGCUGAGUGAGAAGGAUGUGACGACAUUAGAGCCGUGGCUAAUGAAGGAAAUGGACUCCUGCAUCUCGAGCGUCUUCCUGGAGCAGGACACCGACGCAUUCGUUCAGCUCUUCAACCUCAUUCUCAAUGAAAAUAUCAGCAUUGACUACAGGCACAGUGAGACGAGUGCCACUGCACUGAUGGUGGCUGCUGGGAGGGGUUUCACUGGCCAGAUGGAGCAGCUCCUCAGCAUGGGGGCAAGUGUGCACGUCAAGGCCUCCAACAGCUGGACUGCCCUUGACUGGGCCAGACACUUCAAGCAGACAGAAGCAGCAGAUCUCCUGGAGUCACACAUCUCCUCCCUGGAGGCGGGGCAGCUGGACGAGUCGAGCCUGGUGCAGGCGAGCAGCAGUGAGCUGAGCGCAGAGGACCAGGAGCUGCUGAAGGCCUACCACCACAGCUUUGACGAUGAGAAGGUGGACCUGGACCUCAUCAUGCACCUGCUCCAUAGGAUCUGCCAGAGCUCAGAUGAUGGUGCGAUUUUGAUAUUUUUACCAGGCUAUGACGAGAUCGUCGGACUGCGAGACCGCGUUCUAUUUGAAGAUAAGAGAUUUGCAGAGCAUCAGCACAGGUACCAAGUGUUCACAUUGCACUCCAACAUGCAGACCUCAGAUCAGAGGAAGGUUUUGAAACCAACUUCAAACGGAGCUCGCAAAAUUAUCCUCUCCACCAACAUCGCCGAGACGAGCAUCACCAUCAACGAUGUCGUCUUUGUCAUUGACUCUGGAAAAGUUAAAGAGAAAGCGUUCGAUGCCUUGAACCAUGUUACCAUGCUGAAGAUGGUGUGGAUUUCGAAAGCAAGUGCGCUGCAGCGUAAGGGAAGGGCCGGGCGCUGCAGGCCGGGGGUGUGCUUCCACCUGUUCAGCAGGCUGCGCUUCCACAACAUGCUGGAGCACCAGGUCCCUCAGCUACUGAGAAUGCCACUGCAGGAACUGUGUCUCCACACCAAGCUCCUGGCCCCUAUUAACUGCUCCAUUGCAGAGUUCCUGGCCAAGGCCCCCGAGCCUCCCCACCUGGUCACAGUGAAGAAUGCUGUGCAGAUGCUUAAGACCAUAGACGCCAUGGAUGCAUGGGAGGACCUGACAGAGCUGGGCUACCACCUGGCCGACAUGCCCGUGGAGCCGCACCUGGGCAAGAUGGUUCUGUGUGCUGUGGUGCUGAAGUGCUUGGACCCCAUCCUCACCAUCGCCUGCACGCUGGCCUACAGGGACCCAUUCGUCCUGCCUGCUCAGGCCUCACAGAAACGGGCUGCCAUGCUAUGCAGGAGACGCUUCGCUGCCAACACCUUCAGUGACCACAUGGCGCUGCUCCGGGCCUUUCAGGCAUGGCAGAAAGCCCGCAACGAUGGCUGGGAGAGGUCUUUCUGUGAGAAGAACUUCCUGUCCCAGGCCACCAUGGAGAUGAUUAUUGGCAUGCGCACCCAGCUGCUGGGCCAGCUCCGGGCUCUAGGCUUCGUGCGUGCCCGGGGCGGCGGUGAUAUCCGCGACGUCAACCUGAACUCUGAGAACUGGGCGGUGGUGAAGGCUGCGCUGGUGGCAGGCAUGUACCCCAGCCUGGUGCACGUGGACAGGGAGCGGCUGACGCUGGCCGGGGCCAAGGAGAAGAAGGUCCGCUUCCACCACACCUCUGUCCUCAGCCAGCCCCAGUACAAGAAGAUCCCUCCAGCCAACGCCCAGGCAGCAGCAGUCCAGUCCCUGCCCACCGAUUGGCUGAUUUAUGACGAGAUGACACGGGCACACAGGAUUGCCAGCGUGCGGUGUGGCACAGUGGUCACUCCCCUCACCGUGGCUGUGUUCGGAGGCUGUGCCAAGCUACCCAGUACUGCUCUGCAGGAGCCCGCCCUGCCCAGAGUAGCAGACUAUGCCAUGAAUGAGGGCAGUGACAGUGAAAAUGAAGAUCCUUCUACAGUUCACCUGGCGCAGGUGAAUAUCGAUGAAUGGCUCAACUUCAAACUGGAUCAAGAGAUGGCAGAGCUGGUGUUCCAGUUCAGGCAGCGAUGGCAGAGUCUGUUCCUUCGGCGCAUCCGCUUCCCCUCCAGGCCGUGUUCCCAGCUGGAUGAGGCCACCCUGCGGGCGCUGGUCUCGGUGCUGUCGGCCGAGGAGCAAGCCGUCUCCCUGCAGCAGCCCACGGGCAUCGGCCAGAGACCCAAACCCAUGUCACCCAACGAGCCCCUGCAGACCUCGUCCUGGAGGAGCACCGGCAGCCGCAGGAGCGCGGCGGAUACAGAGGUGGCCAAGAGGAGCCCCACCACAGACAGGGCCCCAGGACAGUCGCCUGCCCCAUCGCAGCCUAAGAGCGACAGGGAUAAGAGCGGUUUCCACUCCAAGCGCUCUGCAGAUGACCGUGUGUGUGGGAAGCUGGACAACCUCAGUCUGAACCUCUCUGCUAGUCCCUCCUCCACCUCAGAGCGAGGAGCUUUCGAUUUCACCUCUCCUUCAGCUGGGUGCUCCAAGUUGCUGUUGCCUCGGUCUGCUGUGCCGGUGCGUUACUUCAUCAUGAAGAGCAGUAACCUGAGGAACAUCGAGCUGUCUCAGCAGAGGGGCAUCUGGUCCACCACGCCCAGCAACGAGCCCAAGCUGAACCGGGCGUUCCGGGAAAGCGACGCGGUCUUCCUCAUCUUCUCCGUGCAGGGUUCUGGACACUUCCAGGGCUAUGCUAGGAUGAGCUCUGAGAUCAGCCCAGAGCAGUGUCUGGACUGGGGUUCCUCGGGGCUGGGAGGGGUCUUCAAUGUGGAGUGGAUCCGGAAAGACAACCUCCCCUUCCCGCUGACCCACCAAGUACUCAACCCCUGGAAUGACAACAAGAGAGUUCAGAUCAGCCGAGAUGGACAGGAGCUGGAGCCCCAGGCCGGAGCACAGCUUGUGCAGCUCUGGGGUCGCAUCUCCAAAGAGCAGCACGAGGUACCCACAUGACACCCAUGUUCACUACCAAAACGUGAACGCUUGAAGUGCUUCACAAAGACUCGACUUAUGAAGCUUUGAAGAAAGAUGUCGGCAUCGCUACCUUGGACGGUGACUUCAUGCUUUUUAGCAAAUCAGAGUAUCGUAGACCAACAUAAAGUGACCAACAUUCCCUUUUUCCCAUAUUUUUAAUUGAAGUGUUGUGAGUUAAUUUUAAUUCAGCAGGCAGAAUUAUUCUAGAGUGAAAAAUAGUUGAUCAGCCAGUCACUCCUGUACAAAACACUGUUGGUGUCUUCUCUAGUUCAGCACCUUUUUUUUUUAUGUGCACUACUUUACUUGCUGUGCAAAUGUUCUUUUGCUGUCUAUGAUGGCAUGCACAGUCAAAUGAACACUAUGUUGAUGUUUGGUUUCUUAUGUCAAUUUUGCUGGGUAUGUUAGUUUGACAUGAGAGUUGAAAGUGAUCUCAUUUGUGUAGGGGUUUUGCAUUAGAAAUUACUUAUUCAUGAAAAACAUAAUUCCUCAAAGAUUAUACAGAUGUCUGUGUUACUGUUUUGUUUUGUGAAGUUUUAUUUUUGCAUGUGGGCAUUUUGAAUAAAGAGACAACGGAAGUUCCAUUCUGUUGAUUCAAAAA